rnacentral:rRNA from 2 species
UGCAGAAUCCCGUGAACCAUCGAGUCUUUGAACGCAAGUUGCGCCCCAAGCCAUUAGGCCGAGGGCACGUCUGCCUGGGUGUC